GUCCCUGUAGCGCAAUUUAUACCGCGUUGAACUUCUAAUCCAAAGAUUGUGGGUUCAAAUUCUCCUGGGAUG